UCCAAAUCACUAAUUAUCUAGCGAACGAAUGUCAUCACUAUAUCGAAGAAGGUGGUUCGGGUCAUAUCUUCAUAUGCUUGGCAUUUUGCUAUGAUGUAGUCGGCACUAGCUCUAAUCCUUCCUCAGAUUUUACCCUUCUCCUGAAGUAGCCGCCCGAUUUGCUGAUUUCUGGCUUCUAACACUUGAAUAUCGUGGUGGUUUUGAUUUUGCAACUGUUGUAUUUCCUCCUCCAUCCCAGCCAUUAGAGCAUAAUAAUGUUCUCUGUCAGCUGUAAAGUCCUUGUCCUGUUUAGCCAUCUUGCUUUCGAGGUUGCUAAUCUCCUUUUUCUAACCAGCGACCCCUCUUUCAUACCUUUCUUUCAUCUGUUGAACGAAAAUUGCUUGCCCCUCGUCAUUUUUAGCCAACCUUGCUUGGACUUUUCUAGCUCAGACUCAGCUUUCUACAGGUCAUCUUCGUAGUCAUGCACCUGUGAGGUUAUAAAUGAGCAUUUCAUCUUUACUGCUUCUGCCCAGUUUCCCGACUGCUAUUUUCAGCUGUUGAACUUGGUCUUUGAGAUCUUCGUUUUCUUGGACCAAUCUUUUCCUUUCACCCUCAGCCUCUUGCGCCUGUAAAUCAUAGUCGAAGUGGUAUUUCUCAACUCUUCUCGCAAAUUAUGAAUGCUGGCUUGAUAUUUC
rnacentral:lncRNA from 1 species